AACGAACGCUGGCGGCGUGCCUAACACAUGCCAAGUCGAGCGAGAAAGUCCCUUCGGGGGCGAGUAAAGCGGCGGACGGGUGAGUAAUACAUGGAUAAUCUUCCCUCGAGCCUGGGAUAACCCUGCGAAAGUGGGGCUAAUACCGGAUAAGACCACAUGACACAUAGUCACGGGGUAGAAGGUGGCUUGUAUUUAUAUGAGCUAUCACUUGAGGAUGAGUCCAUGGCCUAUCAGCUAGUUGGUGAGGUAAGAGCUUACCAAGGCUAUGACGGGUAGCUGGUCUGAGAGGACGACUAGGCCACACUGGGACUGAGACACGGUCCAGACUCCUACGGGAGGCAGCAGUGGGGAAUAUUGGACAAUGGGGGCAACCCUGAUCCAGCCAUGCCGCGUGUGUGAAGAAGGCCUUCGGGUUGUAAAGGCACUUUAAGCGGGAGGAAGGCCGUGAUGGCUAAGUAUCCAUCGGGAUUGACGUUACCCGCAGAAUAAGCACCGGA
rnacentral:rRNA from 1 species